rnacentral:rRNA from 1 species
UUGACACCGUAACUUCGGGAGAAGGUGUGCCUCUAUUAGGUGAACCUGUGCAAGGGGAGCUGAAUGGGGCCGCAGAGAAUCGGUGGCUGCGACUGUUUAUUAAAAACACAGCACUCUGCAAAGACGAGAGUCGACGUAUAGGGUGUGACGCCUGCCCGGUGCUGGAAGAUUAAAUGAUGGGGUGCAAGCUCUUGAUUGAAGUCCCAGUAAACGGCGGCCGUAACAAUAAUGGUCCUAAGGUAGCGAAAUUCCUUGUCGGGUAAGUUCCGACCUGCACGAAUGGCGUAACGAUGGCCACGCUGUCUCCUCCAGAGACUCAGCGAAGUUGAAAUGUUUGUGAUGAUGCAAUCUCCCCGCGGAAAGACGGAAAGACCCCAUGAACCUUUACUGUAGCUUCACAUUGGACUUUGAACAGAUCUGUGUAGGAUAGGUGGGAGGCUUUGAAACUGGGACGCUAGUUCCGGUGGAGCCAAUCUUGAAAUACCACCCUGGUGUGUUUGAGGUUCUAACCUUGGCCCGUUAUCCGGGUUGGGGACAGUGUGUGGUGGGCAGUUUGACUGGGGUGGUCUCCUCCUAAAGCGUAACGGAGGAGUUCGAAGGUACGCUAAAUACGGUCGGAAAUCGUGUUGAUAGUGCAUUGGCAUAAGCGUGCUUGACUGCGAGACUGACAAGUCGAGCAGGUACGAAAGUAGGACAAAGUGAUCCGGUGGUUCUGUAUGGAAGGGCCAUCGCUCAACGGAUAAAAGGUACUCUGGGGAUAACAGGCUGAUACCGCCCAAGAGUUCAUAUCGACGGCGGUGUUUGGCACCUCGAUGUCGGCUCAUCUCAUCCUGGGGCUGUAGCCGGUCCCAAGGGUAUGGCUGUUCGCCAUUUAAAGAGGUACGUGAGCUGGGUUUAAAACGUCGUGAGACAGUUUGGUCCCUAUCUUCCGAGGGCGCUGCAAGAUUGAGAGAACCUGCUCCUAGUACGAGAGGACCGGAGUGGACGCACCUCUGGUGUAUCGGUUGUCACGCCAGUGGCAUCGCCGAGUAGCUAAGUGCGGAAGAGAUAACCGCUGAAAGCAUCUAAGCGGGAAACUCAUCUUAAGAUUAGUCUUGCCGGGGACUUGAGCCCCCUGAAGAGUCGUCUGAGACUAAGACGUUGAUAGGUCGGGUGUGGAAGCGUAGUAAUGCGUUGAGCUAACCGAUACUAAUUGCUCGUGAGACUUGACCC